rnacentral:rRNA from 1 species
GACGAACGCUGGCGGCGUGCUUAACACAUGCAAGUCGAACGGUGAAGCGCUUUCCUUUUUGGUUGGUGUGGAUGAGUGGCGAACGGGUGAGUAACACGUGAGUAACCUGCCCCCUUCUUCUGGAUAACCGCAUGAAAGUGUGGCUAAUACUGGAUAUUCUGCGCCUGCUGCAUGGUGGGUGUGGGAAAGAUUGUGCCUUUGGGUGUUUUCGGUGGGGGAUGGGCUCGCGGCCUAUCAGCUUGUUGGUGGGGUGAUGGCCUACCAAGGCGGUGACGGGUAGCCGGCCGGAGAGGGUGGACGGUCACACUGGGACUGAGACACGGCCCAGACGCCUACGGGAGGCAGCAGUGGGGAAUAUUGCACAAUGGGCGCAAGCCUGAUGCAGCGACGCCGCGUGAGGGAUGGAGGCCUUCGGGUUGUGAACCUCUUUCGCCAGUGAAGCAGGCCUGCUCCUUGUGGGUGGGUUGACGGUAGCUGGAUAAGAAGCGCCGGCUAACUACGUG